rnacentral:rRNA from 1 species
UACGUAGGGGGCAAGCGUUGUCCGGAUUUAUUGGGCGUAAAGAGCGUGUAGGCGGCUUUACAGGUCCGUUGUGAAAACUCGAGGCUCAACCUCGAGACGCCGGUGGAAACCGUAAAGCUAGAGUCCGGAAGAGGAGAGUGGAAUUCCUGGUGUAGCGGUGAAAUGCGCAGAUAUCAGGAAGAACACCCGUGGCGAAGGCGGCUCUCUGGGACGGGACUGACGCUGAGACGCGAAAGCGUGGGGAGCGAACAGG